GACGAACGCUGGCGGCGUGCUUAACACAUGCAAGUCGAACGGAAAGGCCCUGCUUUUGUGGGGUGCUCGAGUGGCGAACGGGUGAGUAUAACGUGAGGAACCUGCCCUUGACUUUGGGAUAACUUCAGGAAACUGGGGCUAAUACCGGAUAGGAGCUCCUGCUGCAUGGUGGGGGUUGGAAAGUUUCGGCGGUUGGGGAUGGACUCGCGGCUUAUCAGCUUGUUGGUGGGGUAGUGGCGUACAAAGGCUUUGACGGGUAGCCGGCCUGGGAGGGUGACCGGCCACAUUGGGACUGAGAUAGGGCCCAGACUCCUACGGGAGGCAGCAGUGGGGAAUAGUGCGCAAUGGGCGGAAGCCUGAUGCAGCAACGCCGCGUGCGGGAUGACGGCUUUCGGGGUGUAAACCGCUUUCGCCUGUGACGAAGCGUGAGUGACGGUAAUGGGUAAAGAAGCACCGGCUAACUACGUG
rnacentral:rRNA from 1 species